rnacentral:tRNA from 1 species
AAGGGUGUAGCUCAGUGGUACAGCACAUGCCCAGCACGCACGAGGUCCUGGGUUCAAUCCCCAGUACCUCCA